CACUGCUCUUGCUUUUGUGCGCACGACAGGAUCGGGGAGGUUUCGGGCCGACGGCCGACAGACAUCUGGGAAAGGCGGACGGGACGCCGACCUGCAUUUGGACACGUAGUAGAUGUUAAGCAACAGACAUGAAAUCACAAAGGAAACCAAGUCGAAGUCUGAUGACAUCAGCAAUCGUCUCAUCGCUGCCUGGUGAAGUGGUCGGCCAGUGUGACGAGAGCGAGGACCGGUGUGCGGACCUAAGACAACAAAACAUCAGUGAGUCAAAAGUUAAGUCAACCUGUUGUGCAGCAAAUGAUCUUUGACACGAAACCUACCAGCGAGGAAGACGGGCGACUUGUUUUCUGGGCCUUAGAGCACUCGCACGGCUGCGUGACCGGGAAGCUGACAAGUGUUCCUCUGCAACUCUGGAAGAAAUGUGGAAAAACAAAAAACUGGAUCAAAGAACACCUAAUUGUGGAAUGAAGACAUUUCAAAGCACGUACCUUCCAGGGGUCAAGGUCUCCCGCUUCUCCAAAAUUUGACUUCAGCACCUUGUGGAUGAAAGGAAGCAACAAGAAAAACAUUUUUGGUGUGCAGCUCUGCUCCGUAUCGUGAAUGCAGCGUGUUGUCACCUUGUAGGAAAGCUGGCCCCGGAAUGACGAGGAACAUGGAAGUGGACACAGACCCCAUUUGCAUUUUUUGUGGUUAACAGUCGACCGCAACCUUCGGCAGAAGCUGUUUGACCGUGACGAGAGAAACCGUCUUCGUAUCAAAUGUCUUCUGAAGACUCCACGGUGGUACAGACUUCGCCAGGAGACCUGAACACAAGAGAUUAACGGGGAACCAGUCAAGCUGCUGUUUAAUAAAUGUAUUAGCAAGGCAACAAAGCUGAAGGCAGCGUUGAGGACCUUCCGCACGUUCAUGUAGAACUUGUCUCUUCGCCCAGCAGGUGGAGGAGCUUGCUGGCCGAGUCCCCGAUGGCACUUGGACUGGAAGCUGACCUGCAUGUGGAGUCAAAGGAAAAAGCAGAUGAGGGCACUUCAAACUUCAAUUUGCUGAUCUUGUUUUGUAGCUUACGUCACCUCUCAACAUGUUGGACAGAAAGUUGACCAUCACUCCAGGUUUCCACCACCUACAACAACAAGAAACCAAGGAUCUUUCAGCACCACCUGGUGGACGUGCACAUGAAGAACAUGCAAGUGUCCAGGACCAAGAAGCUCCCAAUGACUUCAAACAAGAGGCUGUCGUGACUGCAGCCAAAACACAUCAAGAAAGGACAGCGCUGGAAAGUCAUCUCAGGUAGACUGGAACAAGUACUAGAACAAGAACAGUCUUCAUUUCAAACGACUCAGGCCUUCUGAGUGGACUGGUGGCACGAGACCUGAAACCAAGAGAUGAACGAGGGACCAGUCAAGCUGCUGUUUACAGGUGGAGGAUCUUGGUGGCCGAGUCCCCCGAUGGCACUUGGACUGGAACCCGACCUGCAUGUGGAGUCAAAGAAAAAGCAAGUCCCAAGCUUAGAGUUACUGCAACAAGAACCAUCCUCGUAUCAAACGACUGAAGCCUUCAGAGUGGACUGGUGGUCAGAGACUUCUCCGGGAGACCUGAACACAACGAGAUGAACGAGGGACCGGCCAAGCUCCUAUUUACAGGUGGAGGAUCUUGGUGGCCGAGUCCCCCGAUGGCACUUGGACUGGAACCCGACCUGCAUGUGGAGUCAAAGAAAAAGCAAGUCCCAAGCUUAGAGUUACUGCAACAAGAACCAUCCUCGUAUCAAACGACUGAAGCCUUCAGAGUGGACUGGUGGUCAGAGACUUCUCCGGGAGACCUGAACACAACGAGAUGAACGAGGGACCGGCCAAGCUCCUAUUUACAGGUGGAGGAUCUUGGUGGCCGAGUCCCCCGAUGGCACUUGGACUGGAACCCGACCUGCAUGUGGAGUCAAAGAAAAAGCAAGUCCCAAGCUUAGAGUUACUGCAACAAGAACCAUCCUCGUAUCAAACGACUGAAGCCUUCAGAGUGGACUGGUGGUCAGAGACUUCUCCGGGAGACCUGAACACAACGAGAUGAACGAGGGACCGGCCAAGCUCCUAUUUACAGGUGGAGGAUCUUGGUGGCCGAGUCCCCCGAUGGCACUUGGACUGGAACCCGACCUGCAUGUGGAGUCAAAGAAAAAGCAAGUCCCAAGCUUAGAGUUCUACUUCACCUUUAGCGUGACCACUACUACUGCAACAAGAACCAUCCUCGUAUCAAACGACUGAAGCCUUCAGAGUGGACUGGUGGUCAGAGACUUCUCCGGGAAACCUGAACACAACGAGAGACCGGCCAAGCUCCUAUUUACAGGUGGAGGAGCUUGCUGGCCGAGUCCCCGAUGGCACUUGGACUGGAAGCUGACCUGCAUGUGGAGUCAAAGAAAAAGCAGAAAGUUGACCAUGAUGCCAUGUUUCCACCACCUACAACAACAAGAAACCAAGUAUUUGGAUUCAUCAAGUCCGUCUUUGCAAAAAGGUUCCAACCUUGAUUGAAAUUUACUUCACAAGAUCAGGUUCUCCAGGGAUCCUUCAGCGCCACCUGGUGGACGUGCGCAGGAAGAACAUGCAAGUGUCCAGGACCAAGAAGCUCCCAAUGACUUCAAACAAGAGGCUGUCGUGACUGCAGCCAAAACUCAUCAAGAAAGGACAGCGCUGGAAAGUCAUCUCAGGUAGACUGGAACCUUCUGCUUGAACAAGAACAGUCUUCGAUUCAAACGACUCAGGCCUUCUGAGUGGACUGGUGGCGCAAGACUUCUCCAGGAGAUCUGAAACCAAGAGAUGAACGAGGGACCAGUCAAGCGCCUAUUUAGAUCUUGGGGGCCGAGUCCCCGACGGCACUUGGACUGGAAGCAGACCUGCAUGUGGAGUCAAAAAGAAAGCAGAAAGUUGACCAUGAUGCCAUGUUUCCACCACCUACAACAACAAGAAACCAAGUAUUUGGAUUCAUCAAGUCCGUCUUUGCAAAAGGUUCCAACCUUGAUUGAAAUUUACUUCACAAGAUCAGGUUCUCCAGGGAUCCUUCAGCGCCACCUGGUGGACGUGCGCAGGAAGAACAUGCAAGUGUCCAGGACCAAGAAGCUCCCAAUGACUUCAAACAAGAGGCUGUCGUGACUGCAGCCAAAACGCAUCAAGAAAGGACAGCGCUGGAAAGUCAUCUCAGGUAGACUGGAACCUUCUGCUUGAACAAGAACAGUCUUCGAUUCAAACGACUCAGGCCUUCUGAGUGGACUGGUGGCGCAAGACUUCUCCAGGAGAUCUGAAACCAAGAGAUGAACGAGGGACCAGUCAAGCGCCUAUUUAGAUCUUGGGGGCCGAGUCCCCAACGGCACUUGGACUGGAAGCCGACCUGCAUGUGGAGUCAAAAAGAAAAAGCAGGUCCAAGCUUGGAAAUCUACUUCACACUUGAGCUUUAACACCACGACUGCAACAAGAACCGUCUUCAUAUCAAACGACUGAAGCCUUCAGAGUGGACUGGUGGCGCAGAGACUUCUCCGGGAGCCCUGAACACAACGAGAUGAACGAGGGACCAGCCAAGCUCCUAUUUAGAUCUUGGGGGCCGAGUCCCCGAUGGCACUUGGACUAGAAGCCGACCUGCAUGUGGAGUCGAAAAGAAAAAGCAGGUCCCAAGCUUAGAGAUCGACUUCACCAGUUGAUCCAUGAUCAGGUUCUCCAGGAAUUCUUCGGCACCACCUGGUGGACGUGAGCAGCAAGAACAUGCUACUGUCCAGGAGCGAGAAGGUAAAGAACUUGAAGGAUCUGGCUGCAGCGCAGCUCAGAGUGCAACUUUGGGGGAACUGCAGAAGAGAACAAAUUGAAAACUUCUGUCAGCCAGUUUGUUUUUAUAUCAAUAUCUUGGAUAACAAAACCCAAAGGUUACUGCUGGCAAGUCAUCUCGGGUGUCCUUACCCUCCUUCAGUCCAUCAGAUUCUUCCUGGGUUGAUACAAAAGCACCACAACAUUAAACGUUAACCCCAACAUUUGGUGUUGCCAUCGAGUGCGUGUUCCCACCUGAACUGUGAUGACAUCGCUGGAGGCUGCCUGGUCAGCUCGUGCUGAAAGAAAUGAGUCACUUUUGUUUUUGUACAUGUAUGAAAGUUUGUCUCACCAGUGAGGAGAGCAGGGAGCAGCCGGACGCCUCGUCAGCGACGGCCUGAAAGACACGACAACACUGUUAGCGUUCGACGUUUCCCAAUUCAGCCCCACGAGCCAGUUUGACUUCGCAACGUGACAAUGGAGCGAGGGGUUUAUCAGUAGACCCACAAAAGUCUCAAGAGGCCUGCCCCAAAAGGCAGCCAUUUAGUUGAAGAUUUGAACCUGUAAUCAGAAAUGAGAAUUAAUCCAAAAGACAAUUACUUGAUGUAUUCUGUUUAAUAAAGGAUAUGCGGUGUAGAGAAA